rnacentral:rRNA from 1 species
AUUGAACGCUGGCGGCAGGCCUAACACAUGCAAGUCGAGCGAGUGGCGGACGGGUGAGUAAUGUAUGGGGAACUGCCCGAUAGAGGGGGAUAACUACUGGAAACGGUAGCUAAUACCGCAUACAAUCGGAUGAGCCCAGAUGGGAUUAGCUAGUAGGUGGGGUAAAGGCUCACCUAGGCGACGAUCCCUAGCUGGUCUGAGAGGAUGAUCAGCCACACUGGGACUGAGACACGGCCCAGACUCCUACGGGAGGCAGCAGUGGGGAAUAGUGCACAAUGGGCGCAAGCCUGAUGCAGCCAUGCCGCGUGUAUGAAGAAGGCCUUAGGGUUGUAAAGUACUUUCAGCGGGGAGGCGUUACCCGCAGAAGAAGCACCGGCUAACUCCGUGCCAGCAGCCGCGGUAAUAC